CAAUUGACUCUAAUAAGUCUGAUACUUGUUGCAUUUUUGAUAAAGCAAAAAGCCUUGCUGAGGUCAUUUGUGUUUGCUGUGCUCCACUCUUGCUCUUCCAGAUGACCUCCAUACUACAUUGCUGGCUUCUUGUUGGGUAAGUUCUUGGCUCUCAGGUCACCAGGUCUUAGCUUUUGCUUGGGAUAUGCCCAUGUCUAAAAUUCCUUUAUUUAUUUUUAUUUCUUUAUUGCAGUUUCUCUUCCUCAAAAGCUUUGGUGGAAAGAUGAACGUGGAUCUUGUCUACUUUGUUACCUGUUGUAUUCUUGGUGGUCAGAAUAGUGCACAUGGUGAAAAUGUAAAAUGAUGCAGCCAAUCUGGAGAGCAACCUGGGAAUAACAGGAGAAGUGGCAUGCGUCUGCACACAACAAGCGUGCAGUAGUUCUUUCCAGUAUAACCCAUGGCUAAUAUAAAGAAGAUGACAAUUAGCAUGUGGGGAGUCCACACGACAUUUUGAUAUUAAACGUGGGUUCUUCUUCUUGACAAGGGGGGAAUAUGCUGCUCUAGCAAGAUUGCAAUGAUGAACCCCAGACUCACGUCUAAACAUUCAGCUAUAGCAAGAUUCUGUCCCAGAUGCCAAAUCACCUGGUUAGGAAGACAGAAACCAUCUCACAUUGCAUCUAAGAACUCUGACCUGAAUGACAUUUUCCAGGAAGCAGGUGAAAGUCGGGGAGAGGAAAGAAGAAGGGAGAAUUAA
rnacentral:lncRNA from 13 species